CCUACGGGUGGCAGCAGUGAGGAAUAUUGGUCAAUGGACGAGAGUCUGAACCAGCCAAGUAGCGUGAAGGAUGACUGCCCUAUGGGUUGUAAACUUCUUUUAUAUGGGAAUAAAAUGUUCCACGUGUGGGAUUUUGUAUGUACCAUAUGAAUAAGGAUCGGCUAACUCCGUGCCAGCAGCCGCUGUAAUACGGAGGAUCCGAGCGUUAUCCGGAUUUAUUGGGUUUAAAGGGAGCGUAGGUGGAUUGUUAAGUCAGUUGUGAAAGUUUGCGGCUCAACCGUAAAAUUGCAGUUGAAACUGGCAGUCUUGAGUACAGUAGAGGUGGGCGGAAUUCGUGGUGUAUCGGUGAAAUGCUUAGAUAGCACGAAGAACUCCGAUUGCGAAGGCAGUUCACUGGACUGCAACUGACACUGAGGCUCGAAAGUGUGGGUAUCAAACAGGAUUAGAUACCCGGGUAGUC
rnacentral:rRNA from 1 species